GGGUUCGUAGCUCAGUCGGUAGAGCAGGGGACUCUUAAUCCCAAGGUCGCGGGUUCGAUCCCCGCCGAACCCA
rnacentral:tRNA from 1 species